GAUGAACGCUGGCGGCGUGCCUAAUACAUGCAUGUCGAGCGAACAGAUGAGGAGCUUGCUCCUCUGACGUUAGCGGCGGACGGGUGAGUAACACGUGGAUAACCUACCUAUAAGACUGGGAUAACUUCGGGAAACCGGAGCUAAUACCGGAUAAUAUAUUGAACCGCAUGGUUCAAUAGUGAAAGACGGUUUUGCUGUCACUUAUAGAUUGAUCCGCGCCGCAUUAGCUAGUUGGUAAGGUAACGGCUUACCAAGGCAACGAUGCGUAGCCGACCUGAGAGGGUGAUCGGCCACACUGGAAGUGAGAAACGGUCGAGACUCCUACGGGAGGCAGCAGUAGGGAAUCUUCCGGAAUGGGCGAAAGCCUGACGGAGCAACGCCGCGUGAGUGAUGAAGGUCUUCGGAUCGUAAAACUCUGUUAUUAGGGAAGAACAAAUGUGUAAGUAACUAUGCACGUCUUGACGGUACCUAAUCAGAAAGCCACGGCUAACUACGUG
rnacentral:rRNA from 1 species